GAUGAAGUGAGUACAGAACUGUUUAAGUAAAAAAAACUACCUGCUGUCUCCCACUAACUACGACCAUUUCUUUGAUCUAUUCAGAUCUAUCCAAACAAAUAAAGGCAAGAUCUUCAUACACGGAGAGAAAUUUUGGCUGGGAACCUACUAAUUAAUUUUGAUCAUAUUGUCGACCAAAUUUGAAACAGGAAGUGAAGCAUCCAAAAAAUUAUGCUUUGUCACAAUACUGCGCGCAAAAAACUUAUCGAAAAUUCAUGCACACCCCGAACGCAUUGUAUUCAUUGGAAAUACAGUGCAAUCUGGUUAAAUGCUCUUACUUUGGGAAAAAUACUAAAUUGAAGUGAGAGUGAAUAGAGCGUCCGAUGUAAGGAUGACUUAAUAAUGAUCCAAGAUGAUUGGUCAAAAAUUGAAGGAACAAUAAGUGGAGCAAUAAAACUUUACUAGAGUUGCAUGUUAUUCUUUAUAAUACAUAUAUACAGAUAUGUAUGUAUACAUAUGUAUAAUAUAUAUACACAUUGUCACUUGGUUGGUAAAUUUGCAGUAUCAACGCUUGACAGUGGGAUAAUGACCCAAUUAUAUGUCAUUUACACGUGACUCAUAUUGUCAAUUUGUUCAUGUCCGGUACACGACAUUCUAAUAAUCGUACAUACGUCUUGCGCAAAUAUACACGGUUAUAAGGUAUUUCGUUAGUUAAUGAAAGGGCGCCGGGAAUUGAAUGCAUGACAAUAUUAAAUAUCACUUGUAUGUAUGAUACUGUCACUUUGCUGCAUUUUAUUCAAUGCGCUUGGAUUUUUUUUUAUAUCAUAUAAUUAUGAAAAAUUCUUUUAUAAUAUAUGGAUAGUUUUAAUUUCAAAAGGUCACGAUUCAUUUUUAAUGAUAUUUAAAAUUACAAAAAUAAAUGGGUUUAAUAUUUGUUAUUUUUUUAUGUUUAGAAAUAUUUAGUGCGAAACAGCUUAAAACAAGAUGAAAACACUUUACAAUUUUUGGAAAAUCACAAAACCUUACUGUCAAUAAACCGGCUAUAAAAGUGAACGUUUAAGUUAUUGAAUUACAAUAUAUCGAGUUUAGAGUUAUUUUUCAAUACAAAUCGGGUAAAUAACAGACUUGAACGGAAUAAAUUUCCUUGACCGGUUUUGAUUUGUAUUUUAAUUUUUGAACAGGUUUUGAUGAUAAACAAUUAUAAACAACUGGUUAAUUUUGAAAUUAAUUGGUUUAAUUCACAUAACAUUAAAUAUUCAAUUACACUUCUUGUUAUUAGUCUUAAAAAA